rnacentral:tRNA from 1 species
GGGCGCUUGGUCUAGGGGUAUGAUUUUCGCUUCGCACUUCCGUUAAGAACUGAAUUUGCGCCUGUGAAAGGUCGUGGGUUCAAUUCCCACAGUGUCCA